rnacentral:rRNA from 1 species
GACGAACGCUGGCGGCGUGCUUAACACAUGCAAGUCGAGCGGUAAGGCUCCUUCGGGAGUACACGAGCGGCGAACGGGUGAGUAACACGUGAGCAAUCUGCCCUUCACUUUGGGAUAACGUCCGGGAACGGAAGCUAAUACCGAAUACGACCACUUCAGGCAUCUGAUGGUGGUGGAAAGUUCCGGCGGUGAAGGGUGAGCUCGCGGACUAUCAGCUUGUUGGUGAGGUAACGGCUCACCAAGGCUUCGACGGGUAGCCGGCCUGAGAGGGUGACCGGCCACACUGGGACUGAGACACGGCCCAGACUCCUACGGGAGGCAGCAGUGGGGAAUAUUGGACAAUGGGCGAAAGCCUGAUCCAGCAACGCCGCGUGAGGGAUGACUGCCUUCGGGUUGUAAACCUCUUUCAGCGGGGACGAAGCGAAAGUGACGGUACCCGCAGAAGAAGCACCGGCCAACUACGUGCCAGCCGCCGCGGUAAGAC